rnacentral:rRNA from 1 species
CAGGAUGAACGCUGGCGGCGUGCCUAACACAUGCAAGUUGAGCGAGAAGGUUAUGUGAUGCGAUUCGAUCAAAUCUUUAACUGGAAAGCAGCGGACGGGUGAGUAACGCGUAGGCAACCUGCCCUUAGCAGGGGGAUAGCCAUUGGAAACGAUGAUUAAAACCCCAUAAUGCGAAUGAUUCACAUGUAUUAUUCGCCAAAGAUUUAUCGGCUAAGGAUGGGCCUGCGUCUGAUUAGCUAGUUGGUGAGGUAACGGCUCACCAAGGCGACGAUCAGUAGCCGACCUGAGAGGGUGAUCGGCCGCAUUGGAACUGAGACACGGUCCAAACUCCUACGGGAGGCAGCAGUGGGGAAUAUUGCACAAUGGGCGAAAGCCUGAAUGCAGCAACGCCGCGUGAAGGAUGAAGGCCUUCGGGUCGUAAACUUCUGUCCUUGGGGAAGAAGAGAGUGACGGUACCCAUGGAGGAAGCCCCGGCUAACUACGUGCCAGCCGCCGC